UACGUAGGGUGCAAGCGUUGCCCGGAUUCAUUGGGCGUAAAGCGCGCGCAGGCGGCCUUCCAAGUCCCGCGUGAAAUCGCCCGGCUCAACCGGGCGGGGUCGCGGGAGACUGGGGGGCUCGAGCGAGGGAGGGGGCAGUGGAAUUCCCGGUGGAGUGGUGAAAUGCGUAGAGAUCCGGAGGAACACCAAAGGCGAAGGCAGUGUCCUGGGGAGUACCUGACGCUCAGGUGCGAAAGCCAGGGGAGCGAACGGG
rnacentral:rRNA from 1 species